UUCAGAAAAGCUGCACUUCUGCAUGAAGUAAAACACACACUCAAAUACAACAAGGUUGCCAUUUAAUCAGUAGCAACAAGGUUGCCCAUUUAAUCAGUAGCAGUCUCGUUGUGAAAAGAGGCACCCGGAAACCUGACCGUGGAUCCCCUACCCCAACAGGGUCUCGGUAUAACCUCACACAGGGUUUGUGGCAACUUGACACAAGGUAGCGCCCCCGACCACCAGCAUGAGAACGGACUUCCACAUGCACAGCCAGCCCAUGGCCAUGCCAAAGCGCACAAGCAGAACAACAGGACCCUAAAUAUGGUCAAAGGGAUCAAGACUGCUUUUGCGAACUAAACCCCAGAACGAAUCGUUCUCGUUUUCUUCAGCUCAUCGAAAUUAACUCCAUUUCCCCUCUGUUCCUUUACUGUAGACGAUCUCGGAACACUGCAGUCCUCUGAGCCGAUGUGUGUGCGGGUGGCUGUGGGGGUGGCUGUGGUUGUCCCUUGAAACCGCAGAGGGUUCAUUUUAAAUAGGAAGUUUCAAUAGAUCUGAAUUCUCCCUCUAGUUCUCCCUCAUGAUGUUUACAUUUACCUUUUUUUUUUUUUUUUCUUUUCUUGCAGCCAGUCUUCGGAAAACAAAUGCCAGUCUUCGGAAAACAAAUGCCAGUCUUCGGAAAACAAAUGCCAGUCUUCGGAAAACAAAUGGUAACAUUUCUGAUAUCCCAUCACCCCAGUGCUCUUGAGCCCCUCUGAAGCGACUGGUUCAGCCUUUCCUCUUGUCUGCCGUUUCAUCUGUUUCGCUUGUGUCGGCAUGCCUUUCUCUUGCACGUCCUGUCUACGAGCUCCACCUCAAUGUUUUGCGUGGGACUUGUCCCACGUUCCUUCUGUCCAUUUCUGUUUGCCUACCUCCUCUGCUCUGCCAUUCCUGCUCUUUGCAAUGCAUGCC
rnacentral:lncRNA from 9 species